CUCACACAGGUUGCAGCACAGACAUGAGGGCCUUCACUCAGCUCCUGGGGUUGCUGCUGCUCUGGCUUACAGGUGCCAGAUGUGACAUCCAGACGACCCAGUCUCCAGCCUCCCUGUCUACAUCUCUGGGAGAAAGUGUCACCAUCACAUGCCAAGCAAGUGAAGACAUUUACAGUGAUUUAGCAUGGUAUCAGCAGAAACCAGGGAAACCUCUUAAGCUUCUGAUCUAUGGUGCAAACAACUUGGCAGAUGGGGUCCCAUCGAGGUUCAGUGGUAGUGGAUCUGGCACACAGUAUUCUCUAAAGAUCAGCAGCCUCCAGUCAGAAGAUAUUGCAACUUAUUACUGUCAACAAGGUAGGAGUUUUCCACCCACAGUGAUUCAAGUCAUGAUAUAA